AGUUAACGUUGGCGGCGUGCCUAACACAUGCAAGUCGAACGCGUCCUAAGGGCAACUUUAGGAUGAGUGGCGAACGGGUGAGUAUCACGUGGGUAAUCUUCCUUCAAGUGGGGAAUAAGCUCUCGAAAGGGAGUCUAAUACCGCAUGACAUUCCGGGACACAAGUCCCGUAAUCAAAGCCGCAAGGCGCUUGAAGAUGAGCCUGCGUCCUAUUAGCUAGUUGGUGGGGUAACGGCCUACCAAGGCUCAGAUGGGUAGCCGGCCUGAGAGGGUGAACGGCCACACUGGGACUGAGACACGGCCCAGACUCCUACGGGAGGCAGCAGUGGGGAAUAUUGCACAAUGGGCGAAAGCCUGAUGCAGCGACGCCGCGUGAGGGAUGACGGCCUCGGUUGUAACGUACUUCUAGCAGGAAGAAGACGAAGUAGACGGUACCUGCAGAAGAAGACACGGCACUACGUGCACGCAGCCGCGGUAAACGUACGACGUCG
rnacentral:rRNA from 1 species